CACGUAGGGUGCGAGCGUUGUCCGGAAUUAUUGGGCGUAAAGAGCUCGUAGGCGGUUUGUCGCGUCUGCUGUGAAAUCCCGAGGCUCAACCUCGGGCCUGCAGUGGGUACGGGCAGACUAGAGUGCGGUAGGGGAGAUUGGAAUUCCUGGUGUAGCGGUGGAAUGCGCAGAUAUCAGGAGGAACACCGAUGGCGAAGGCAGAUCUCUGGGCCGUAACUGACGCUGAGGAGCGAAAGCGUGGGGAGCGAACAGG
rnacentral:rRNA from 1 species